UGAGGAAUAUUGGACAAUGGGCGCAAGCCUGAUCCAGCCAUGCCGCGUGCAGGAUGACGGUCCUAUGGAUUGUAAACUGCUUUUAUACGAGAAGAAACCACUCUACGUGUAGAGUCUUGACGGUAUCGUAAGAAUAAGGAUCGGCUAACUCCGUGCCAGCAGCCGCGGUAAUACGGAGGAUCCAAGCGUUAUCCGGAAUCAUUGGGUUUAAAGGGUCCGUAGGCGGCUUUAUAAGUCAGUGGUGAAAUCUCCCCGCUCAACGGGGAAACGGCCAUUGAUACUGUAAGGCUUGAAUUAUUAGGAAGUAACUAGAAUAUGUAGUGUAGCGGUGAAAUGCUUAGAGAUUACAUGGAAUACCAAUUGCGAAGGCAGGUUACUACUAAUGGAUUGACGCUGAUGGACGAAAGCGUGGGUAGCGAACA
rnacentral:rRNA from 1 species